GUUUGCUCAGGCUGGAAAAAAUGAUUUUGGAGGUCUUGUACAACUUAACUCUACAGUGAGAUGACUCAACUGUCUGCAGGCCUUUGCUGUUGUGUUUUGUUGAGCAUUAUAUGAAGCCAGAGCUGCUGUGAGGGAACCUUCAUAACAUCUAAAAAUGAAACAUUUGCAUUUCAGUGUGAGGUCUGAUGCUUAACAUCUGGGGACUGUACUGCAGAGCUGCCAGUAGAAUCGUUGUACUUCUUGCUGCAUUCCCUGUGGUAUGGCAGAUGGAUCUGAAAGUCAUCAGCGAGCAGUGAAAGUAAUGCAGAUCUUAACAGGAUGAACAGGAAUUUGGCUUGGACUUCAUACCACAAGCAAUGACUAACCAAGUAUCUCCUGCAACAAGUUAUUUAUUAACAGUGAUUCACGAAUUAGAAUCUACACAAAUGUUUCCUUUUAAGAGUCCAGGAUGAAUCUGCCUCAGUAACAUUUAGGUGGAGAAAGUAUUUCUAUAAUAUAAACUGUGUAUAUUCACGUA
rnacentral:lncRNA from 1 species